CACGCAUCUUAAGAUAAUAUGAGACCAGAGGACUUCGACCACCGAUUCUGAAGAGUACACGCUGGAAGUCAGGACCCAAGCCAAUAUAACAGGACUGUACAGAGUGGAUAAAGAUGCUAUAAUUUAAACGAUCUGAAAGGGAUUAAAGAAAAAUUUUUUCCUGGAAUUUGAGGCCAGAUCCACAGCUGGUACAAUUCAGCAUGACUUCCCUGGCGCUUUGAUGAAUUACACCAGCUAAUUUGACCCUAUAUGGAUUUGGCCCCCGCAGAGGCUGGAAAAGUGCCACUUCUAUACUGCCUCCCAGGGUGACCAGAAGAUACAGAUAUGCAUGAGCCAGUCAGAAAGACAAAUUAUUUUCAGGAAUAUUGAGAACAUAUGGAAAUAAAACUGAAGUCAGGAUUAAGAGAUUGACAUUCAGAGUGUAAAAAUCACAUUUAAUCCUAAAAAUAGUGUUCUCAUGCAUCAACUAUACCUUCAUAGAAGUCCUUUUAUGGAUGGACUCAUUUCCUAACAAGGAUGAUAGAAGUGGACUGAAGUGGAAAAACGAGGAAGAAGAAAAGCAGUAGAGACAUACAGUAGUAAGUUACAACUUUUAAAAUAUAUUAUAUGGAUUCUUUGAGGCAAAAUUUGCUAUGAUAAAACAAAGACAUAAACCACUAUAAACAUUUGCUGCAUUUAAUGCAGAUAAUGUGUGGAGAUUAUCACAGUAACUAUUUUAUUUUGUUGCAUUAUCCCCAUUAUGAAUUUAUAGUAUAAGAGGGUUGAGGGAAGGUGGGGAGAAAGGGAAGAAUCAGAUGUGUCAAAAUAUACAAAGUAAGUAUCCUUAAAUCAAACUCUAAUAAUUUCUCAAGAAGCAUUUUCUUACUUUAACUAUCUGUAAAUGUAGACUAUUAUCAAUCAAAAUAUUUUUCAUCAGUUUGUGCAUGUAUGGUGAAAUUG